rnacentral:rRNA from 1 species
CUUGUCUCAAAGAUUAAGCCAUGCAUGUCUAAGUCCAAGCUGUGUUCACACGGCGAGACCGCGGACGGCUCAUUAAAUCAGUCGUGGUCCAAAUGGGCCAGUGCAAAUCCUACUUGGAUAACUGUGGUAAUUCCAGAGCUAAUACAUGCAACUGAUAUCCCGAAGGCGGUGUUGGGGCUUGCUUGCCUUGCGCUGCGCUGCUCUGACGGAUGCUUUUAUUAGACCAAGCCGCUGAGGACUUGAGGGUUCGCGCUCUCUUGUUUGACUCGUGUGAUGGUGACUCUGGAUAACCAAAUUCUGACAAGCGCACGUACUUCUCUUCUGAGCGAGACGGCGCUGCCACUUUCGAGUGUCUGCCUUAUCAGCUAUCAACCGUUCGUUAUGCGCGACCGAUGGCUUUGACGGGUAACGGGGAAUCAGGGUUCGAUUCCGGAGAGGCAGCCUGAGAGACGGCUACCACGUCCAAGGACGGCAGCAGGCACGCAAAUUACCCAAUCCCAGCAAAUGGGGGAGGUAGUGACGAAAUCUAACGAUGCGGGCGCCCUUUCUGGGGCCCCGCAAUCGGAAUGGGCACUUUCUAAACAACCUGUUGAGAACCUAC